rnacentral:piRNA from 1 species
CAGUAAGGUGCUUUGUCUGUUCUUGAUGGC